rnacentral:rRNA from 1 species
GGCUCAGAACGAACGCUGGCGGCAGGCUUAACACAUGCAAGUCGAGCGCCCCGCAAGGGGAGCGGCAGACGGGUGAGUAACGCGUGGGAAUCUACCCUUUUCUACGGAAUAACGCAGGGAAACUUGUGCUAAUACCGUAUGAGCCCUUCGGGGGAAAGAUUUAUCGGGAAAGGAUGAGCCCGCGUUGGAUUAGCUAGUUGGUGGGGUAAAGGCCUACCAAGGCGACGAUCCAUAGCUGGUCUGAGAGGAUGAUCAGCCACAUUGGGACUGAGACACGGCCCAAACUCCUACGGGAGGCAGCAGUGGGGAAUAUUGGACAAUGGGCGCAAGCCUGAUCCAGCCAUGCCGCGUGAGUGAUGAAGGCCCUAGGGUUGUAAAGCUCUUUCACCGGUGAAGAUAA